CAGUAGCCGCGGUAAUACGUAGGGAGCAAGCGUUGUUCGGAUUUACUGGGCGUAAAGGGCGCGUAGGCGGCGCGGUAAGUCACUUGUGAAAUCUCUGAGCUUAACUCAGAACGGCCAAGUGAUACUGCUGUGCUAGAGUGCGGAAGAGGCAACCGGAAUUCUUGGUGUAGCGGUGAAAUGCGUAGAUAUCAAGAGGAACACCUGAGGCGAAGGCGGGUUGCUGGGCCGACACUGACGCUGAUGCGCGAAAGCCAGGGGAGCAAACGGGAUUAGAUACCCGAGUAGUCCCUGUCUCUUAUAC
rnacentral:rRNA from 1 species